ensembl:snRNA U6 U6 spliceosomal RNA
CUGCUUGAUUCGGCAGCACACAUACUAAAAUUGGAACAAUACAGAGAAGAUUAGCAUGGCUCCUGUGCAAGGAUGACAUGCUAGCCUACUGAAUUAAGGAGGGUUGAUUUUUUU